rnacentral:rRNA from 1 species
UACAGAGGGGGCAAGCGUUAUUCGGAAUUAUUGGGCGUAAAGGGCGCGUAGGCGGCGAUUCAAGUGACGGGUGAAAUCCCUCGGCUUAACCGAGGAACUGCCUGUCAGACUGGAUUGCUUGAGGCCGGGAGAGGCGAGUGGAAUUCCCAGUGUAGCGGUGAAAUGCGCAGAUAUCAGGAGGAACACCGGUGGCGAAGGCGGGUCUCUGGGCCGAUACUGACGCUGAGGAGCGAAAGCGUGGGGAGCGAACAGG